UACGAGGGAUGCAAGCGUUAUCCGGAAUUAUUGGGCGUAAAGCGUUUGUAGGCGGGCGAGUGUGUUUAAUGUUAAAUCUUAAAGCUCAACUUUGAAAUUGCGUUAAAAACUGCUUGUCUUGAGUAUGGUAGGGGUAAAGGGAAUUCCCAGUGUAGCGGUGAAAUGCGUAGAUAUUGGGAAGAACACUAAACAGCGAAGGCACUUUACUAGGCUAAUACUGACGCUGAGAAACGAAAGGUAAGGUAGCGAAACGGAUUAGAUACCCGUGUAGUCUUACCCGUAAACUAUGGACACUAAACGGUAAAUUUUUAAUUUACUGUUAAAGCUAACGCGUUAAGUGUCCCGCCUGGGGAGUAUGCUUGCAAAAGUGAAACUCAAAGGAAUUGACGGGGGCCCGCACAAGCGGUGGAGCAUGUGGUUUAAUUCGACGGUACACGAAGAACCUUACCAGGAUUUGACAUGCUAGAUAGUUGCUUGAAAGAGUAACGUGCCGUAAGGAAUCUAGACACAGGUGGUGCAUGGCUGUCGUCAGUUCGUGUUGUGAAAUGUUGGGUUAAGUCCCGCAACGAACGCAACCCUUGUCUUUAGUUAUUUUCUAAAGAGACUGCCUGUAAUAAACAGGAGGAAGGUAAGGAUGAGGUCAAGUCAUCAUGCCCCUUAUGUCCUGGGCUACACACGUGCUACAAUGGGAAAGACAAUGAGCUGCAAAUCUGUAAAUUUAAGCAAAUCUCUUAAACUUUCUCGUAGUUCGGAUUGUAGGCUGCAACUCGCCUGCAUGAAGUUGGAAUCGCUAGUAAUCGCUGGUCAGCUAUACAGCGGUGAAUUCGUUCCCGGGCCU
rnacentral:rRNA from 1 species